UACGUAGGUGGCAAGCGUUGUCCGGAUUUACUGGGCGUAAAGAGCGCGCAGGCGGUCGUUCAAGUCGCGUGUGAAAGCCCCCGGCUCAACUGGGGAGGGUCACGCGAUACUGAUCGACUCGAAGGCAGGAGAGGGUAGUGGAAUUCCCGGUGUAGUGGUGAAAUGCGUAGAGAUCGGGAGGAACAUCCGUGGCGAAGGCGACUACCUGGACCAGCACUGACACUGAGGCACGAAAGCGUGGGGAGCAAACAGG
rnacentral:rRNA from 1 species